GAGCCUUUUAACUAAACAAAGCUUAGACAUGUAAGCAUCCAUUGACUACACAGGUUGAUUUAGAAAAAGGUACCAAUGCUUUUGGAAAUUUCUCAAGCAAAUCACUCAAUGCACUCUUCCCUAGCCAAGACAUCAUCAGGAAGCAGUAAGGACUGAGUCCUGCUUCACCCACAGCCCCCAGGCUGACGCUCGGCCUGGUCCCUCAGAAGGUGCCUGUGGGGGCGGCCGCCACCAGGAGAGGAAGGGAGACGUCUAAUGGCACCCUGGGUCCUCCAGGCACACGGAUACAUAGGAGCUCAGC
rnacentral:lncRNA from 1 species